rnacentral:lncRNA from 1 species
AUUUCCUUACCCAACUUUCACAUUGGGAAAAUAAUUUUUCCUACAUGUAACUCCUCUUUAAAAUGCUUCUUUGUCAUUUCAAAUUGAAAUCUCAGUUUUGCCAUGGGAAGAGAGUUUUCCAAAAUUCCUCUCUCCCAACAGGACUAUAUGCUCUAUUCAUUUUUUUUGAUAUUCAUAUACAAAUUGUUCCCAUACUCUAGUGGUUGUCUGAGCAUAGUAGAAUUGAAAAAUAAAUUAGUGUAGUUAUCCAGAACAUUUACAUUUAAUGUUGUGACAAAAGCCAGAGAUUUUGGCCUGAACAGCCACAGCGAUUUUCUAAACUGAUCAAAUCCAGUGGAAGGUUGCUCAAUUUUUCAUAUCUUAGAGGCAAAAAAAUCUAAUAUAAAAAUUAAGAUGUUAAAAGAGAGGCAUAACUGAGGUUUUAAUUGGUCAAAAAGUAGAGUGUACCCAGAGCUAGGUGCAGCCACCUUCAGAUCCUGAACUAGCCCUCCUGAGUCCUUUAUUCCUUUUCUGCAGGCCCUGGGGGAUCACCCUGCUUUCUUCUCUUGGCAUUUGCCACACCCUGUCUUAUUCAACCCUGUAUUGAAGUUGUUUCUCUUCAAAUCUUUACUGAUAGUUUCUCUAGCUUCCUUCUUUUCUUAAUUCUGCUGAAGAGACUAAUAUGAAUCUUCCAAUCUUUAGUGUAACAUUGAUAAUUAGCUGUGUGGCCUUACAUGAGAUACUUGACCUUUCUGUAGCUCGGUUUCUUCAUAGUCAGUUAAAUGAAGAGAAUGAUGACUACUUCAUAGCAUUGUUCUGGAAAUGAAAUGAGAUGCACUGCAUAUCACUUUUAAAAGGCAUUUAGUAAGUAGUUGUCCUCAACUUUUCCCUCUCAUUUUGUUUCUAUAUGUACAAUUUGAAAGAUGCAGAAUUAUUUUUUAAGUUGUUAAAUAAUAUCAUUUUGUGUCGGUGUGAGAACUGCUGGUUUAAAAAACGUUUUCAUAUGUCUCACCUUAUUUGCUGCUGCCACACUAAUUUGAGUUAGGUAAGAUAAUUAUUUACUAUUCUUCUUUCAGAUAAGGAAAUUAAAUCUCAGGGAGAUAAAGAGAAGCAAGUGUCUAGAUUCAUAAUGCCUUCAACAGCACAGUAGAAAUGGGAGGGAGGUAGUGACACAUUUCCUGUGUUGUGGUGUUUAGUGGAGACACCUCCUCCCUGGGUUGUGGUGUUUAGUGGAGACACCUCCUCCCUGGGUUGUGGUACUGAAAACUAAAGGGUAAAUUCUGCAAAUGUCUCCAAGUGUUGUAGAUCAAAGCCAGGGAAAGCAAUCAGAAGCCAGAUUGCAUUCUAAUGGCUGGGGAGACUUAGGCAACAAAACUCGAUGAAGAAACCACAGCCUGGAAGAAUUCUUUAGAAAGAGCCUAGGUCCCAAGUGGGUACCUUGUGUGGAUUCAGAAAUGAACUAACAAUUUUGAAUGAAAAGGACCAUUAAAAUGUUUCUACCAGGACUAACUACUUUCUUUUGUCAAAUUAGCUCAGGUUAAUUAUAGAGUAGACACUGCCUGAAUCUGUAUUUUUCUAAUUAACAUCAAAAUCCACUAGAAAGACACGAACAUUUAAUGUUGUAUAAUGUAUAUGCAUAUGUGGAAACACUAUUGGAUUUUAUGAACUGAUGAAUAUAUAGGAUUACCUUAUUCCAUGCCAUUCCUUUAACAGAUAUUUCUUGUGUACCUGGGAUGUACCAGGUAUACUUCUUGGUAUAGGAACUAUACCAGCAAAAAUUGUCAUGGAGCUUAUAAUAGAAGAGGUGUUUAUAGCUUAGUAAUAUAAAAAAUCAUACAAGAUC